rnacentral:rRNA from 1 species
GAUGAACGCUGGCGGCGUGCCUAAUACAUGCAAGUCGAGCGAAUGACGAGGAGCUUGCUCCUCUGAUUUAGCGGCGGACGGGUGAGUAACACGUGGGUAACCUGCCUGUAAGACGGGGAUAACUCCGGGAAACCGGAGCUAAUACCGGAUGAUAACGAGAAGCGCCUGCUUCUUUUUCGAAAGUCGGUUUCGGCUGACGCUUACAGAUGGGCCCGCGGCGCAUUAGCUAGUUGGUGAGGUAACGGCUCACCAAGGCGACGAUGCGUAGCCGACCUGAGAGGGUGAUCGGCCACACUGGGACUGAGACACGGCCCAGACUCCUACGGGAGGCAGCAGUAGGGAAUCUUCGGCAAUGGACGAAAGUCUGACCGAGCAACGCCGCGUGAGCGAUGAAGGCCUUCGGGUCGUAAAGCUCUGUUGUCAGAGAAGAACAAGUACCGGAGUAACUGCCGGUACCUUGAGGGUACCUGACCAGAAAGCCACGGCUAACUAUGUGCCAGCAGCCGCAGUAAUAC